rnacentral:rRNA from 1 species
GCAAGCGGGAGGAAGGUGGGGGACGACGUCAAGUCAUCAUGGCCCUUAUGCCUGGGGCGACACACGUGCUACAAUGGAUAGGACAGAAAGACGCAAGACCGCGAGGUGGAGCAAAUCUUUAAACCUAUUACUCAGUUCGGAUUGGAGUCUGCAACUCGACUCCAUGAAGCUGGGAAUCGCUAGUAAUCGCGGAUCAGCCAUGCCGCGGUGAAUACGUUCCCGGGUCUU